rnacentral:rRNA from 1 species
CUAUGCGCUAUUUAGUGGCAAACGGGUGAGUAACACGUAGCUUAGCUGUCCUAAAGUGGGGGAUAGCCGCGGGAAGCCGCGGGUAAUACCGCAUGUGAUCUACGGAUUAAAGCUUAAUGCGCUUUAGGAGGUGGCUGCGGCCCAUCAGGUUGUUGGCGGGGUAAUGGCCCACCAAGCCUAUGACGGGUAUCCGGCCUGAGAGGGUGAUCGGACACAUUGGAACUGAGACACGGUCCAGACUCCUACGGGAGGCAGCAGCUAGGAAUUUUCCGCAAUGGACGAAAGUCUGACGGAGCAACGCCGCGUGAAGGAUGAAGGUCUUUAGGGAUUGUAAACUUCUUUUAUAUGAGACGAGUAAGGACGGUAUCAUAAGAAUAAGUCCCGGCUAACUACGUGCCAGCAGCCGCGGUAAUACGUAGGGGGCUAGCGUUGUUCGGAAUUACUGGGUAUAAAGGGUGCGCAGGCGGAUUUCUAAGCAAGAGGUGAAAUGUCAAGGCUCAACCAUGGCACUGCCUUU